CAGCCGCCGCGGGAAUACGGAGGGAGCUAGCGUUAUUCGGAAUUACUGGGCGUAAGGCGCACGUAGGCGGCUCUGUAAGUUAGAGGUGAAAGCCUGGAGCUCAACUCCAGAAUUGCCUUUAAGACUGCAUCGCUUGAAUCCAGGAGAGGUGAGUGGAAUUCCGAGUGUAGAGGUGAAAUUCGUAGAUAUUCGGAAGGACACCAGUGGCGAAGGCGGCUCACUAGACUGGUAUUGACGCUGAGGUGCGAAAGCGUGGGGAGCAAACAGGAUUAGAUACCCCUGUAGUCCCUGUCUCUUAUAC
rnacentral:rRNA from 1 species